AGAGUUUGAUCAUGGCUCAGGAUGAACGCUAGCUACAGGCUUAACACAUGCAAGUCGAGGGGAAACGACAUCGAAAGCUUGCUUUUGAUGGGCGUCGACCGGCGAACGGGUGAGUAACGCGUAUCCAACCUGCCCACCACUUGGGGAUAACCUUGCGAAAGUAAGACUAAUACCCAAUGACGUCUCUAGAAGACAUCUGAAAGAGAUUAAAGAUUUAUCGGUGAUGGAUGGGGAUGCGUCUGGAUUAGCUUGUUGGCGGGGUAACGGCCCNCAAGGCGACGAUCAGUAGGGGUUCUGAGAGGAAGGUCCCCCACAUUGGAACUGAGACACGGUCCAAACUCCUACGGGAGGCA
rnacentral:rRNA from 1 species